UUUUCGUACAAACUUGAAACUUCGUCCAAAUAAUCCAUACUACCCUAUUAAUCACCUGUAGAAAUUUUUUCUUCAUAUUCCGACGGGAAGUUUGAAAAUUUUGCGUUUUUACUACCGGCCGCCAUUAAUUUUUCAUCUCACGGCCAAAAGGAUUAUUUUCGGUCAGCGGUGUUCUCGUGACAUCAUUUACUCUACUCAUUCCAAAACGCUGGCGUCUUUCCUCUUGUUUCUUCGUAAAGUUAGAGAGUUAAAAGCUAGUUUACUGUAGAUUUUUUUAAAGUUUUCACGCUCAUAUCAGCGACCGAGUACGAUAUUUUCCUUGUCGACMUUUCUGUUGCUUCAAAAACAUGGAAAAUGUCAACAGCGUCGAGAUAUACGACUGUGAAGAGCUCGAACCUAAUGCCAACGAAGAAGAGAUCGCUGAGUUCAACGAGCAAUCCAGAAUCGAGCUCGAAGAAGAAGAGAYGCUAAGAAGAAGAUUUUGUGGGGAGUCCAGGCAAUGGUGCACUUGUUCUAAUUGUUGCCUAACUCUAGUGACAAAGCAAGAAGAGUGCUUUUGUUGCAAUGACAUCAUGAGAUGYAUGGACAAACUGAAUGAACUGGAUCAACAAGUUCAAUGUAUUACAUGUCAYCCUGGCUUUGAAUCUGUGUGUCUAGACAAAUUUCUUCAAUCUGUUGCAUACAGACAAUUUUUUCGAUUCAUAUGGGAUUUCACUGGCAAUUCAAAAAGACUACCUCUGCCCUGUUGUGUUUAUAAUAGCAUACGAAUAGCAUUUCCAUCUGAAGAUGGAAGUUAUAGAGGCUUCCUGGAAAGAAGACGAAGGACAAGUAGUGUCAAACGAAGAGUCAGAAAGUGAAGAACAAUCAGAUGAAUGAACUGAAACUAAAACGAAUCCUAUGAACAAUAGUAAGAUACUAUUGCUGUAAAGGAAGGACAAACUUCAGUGUUUUGUAUUGGUGGAGUGCAUUUAAACCUAUUUUGGAAAAACAUCAUGUGAAAAUGUAGUCUUACCUGCAGAAGCAUGAAUGAAAUGAUAAAAGAAAGACAUGAAAAGUCUUUUAUCUCUUCAUUAUUUCUUUUCACUAAAUUAAAUAUACAUGCUACUGCUCAUUUUUCAUAUGACAAACUUCUUGCAACAAGGUGCAADUCAUUGGU